rnacentral:rRNA from 1 species
UACGUAGGGUGCGAGCGUUGUCCGGAAUUACUGGGCGUAAAGAGCUCGUAGGUGGUUUGUCGCGUUGUUCGUGAAAACUCACAGCUCAACUGUGGGCGUGCGGGCGAUACGGGCAGACUGGAGUACUGCAGGGGAGACUGGAAUUCCUGGUGUAGCGGUGGAAUGCGCAGAUAUCAGGAGGAACACCGGUGGCGAAGGCGGGUCUCUGGGCAACUACUGACGCUGAGGAGCGAAAGCGUGGGGAGCGAACAGG